UUCCGUAGGUGAACCUGCGGAGGGAUCAUUACAAGUGACCCCGGUCUUACCACCGGGAUGUUCAUAACCCUUUGUUGUCCGACUCUGUUGCCUCCGGGGCGACCCUGCCUUCGGGCGGGGGCUCCGGGUGGACACUUCAAACUCUUGCGUAACUUUGCAGUCUGAGUAAACUUAAUUAAUAAAUUAAAACUUUUAACAACGGAUCUCUUGGUUCUGGCAUCGAUGAAGAACGCAGCGAAAUGCGAUAAGUAAUGUGAAUUGCAGAAUUCAGUGAAUCAUCGAAUCUUUGAACGCACAUUGCACCCCCUGGUAUUCCGGGGGGCAUGCCUGUUCGAGCGUCAUUUCACCACUCAAGCCUCGCUUGGUAUUGGGCAACGCGGUCCGCCGCGUGCCUCAAAUCGACCGGCUGGGUCUUCUGUCCCCUAAGCGUUGUGGAAACUAUUCGCUAAAGGGUGUUCGGGAGGCUACGCCGUAAAACAACCCCAUUUCUAAGGUUGACCUCGGAUCAGGUAGGGAUACCCGCUGAACUUAAGCAUAUCAAUAAGCGGAGGA
rnacentral:rRNA from 1 species